rnacentral:rRNA from 1 species
AACGCGAAGAACCUUACCAACCCUUGACAUCCCCGGACCGCUGGAGAGAUCCAGCUUCCCCGUAAGGGGCCGGGUGACAGGUGCUGCAUGGCUGUUGUCAGCUCGUGUCGUGAGAUGUUCGGUUAAGUCCGGCAACGAGCGCAACCCACACCCUUAGUUGCCAGCAUUCAGUUGGGCACUCUAGGGGAACUGCCCGUGAUAAGCGGGAGGAAGGUGUGGAUGACGUCAAGUCCUCAUGGCCCUUACGGGUUGGGCUACACACGUGCUACAACGGCAUCUACAGUGGGUUAGUCCCCAAAAGAUGUCUCAGUUCGGAUUGGGGUCUGCAACUCGACCCCAUGAAGUCGGAAUCGCUAGUAAUCGCGGAUCAGCAUGCCGCGGUGAAUACGUUCCCGGGUCUUGUACACACCG